rnacentral:rRNA from 1 species
GUGCCAGCCGCCGCGGUAAUACCGGCAGCCCAAGUGAUGGCCGAUCUUAUUGGGCCUAAAGCGUCCGUAGCUGGCCACGCAAGUCCAUCGGAAAAUCCACCCGCCCAACGGGUGGGCGUCCGGUGGAAACUGUGUGGCUUGGGACCGGAAGACCAGAGGGGUACGUCCGGGGUAGGAGUGAAAUCCCGUAAUCCUGGACGGACCACCGGUGGCGAAAGCGCCUCUGGAAGACGGAUCCGACGGUGAGGGACGAAAGCUCGGGUCACGAACCGGAUUAGAUACCCCAGUAGUCC